UACGUAGGGUGCAAGCGUUAAUCGGAAUUACUGGGCGUAAAGCGUGCGCAGGCGGUGAUGUAAGACAGAUGUGAAAUCCCCGGGCUCAACCUGGGAACUGCAUUUGUGACUGCAUCGCUGGAGUGCGGCAGAGGGGGAUGGAAUUCCGCGUGUAGCAGUGAAAUGCGUAGAUAUGCGGAGGAACACCGAUGGCGAAGGCAAUCCCCUGGGCCUGCACUGACGCUGAGGAGCGAAAGCGUGGGUAGCGAACAGG
rnacentral:rRNA from 1 species